rnacentral:rRNA from 1 species
AUGGCAGAGGAACCGUCCACCAAGCGUCAUCAUGCCGAGACGUCGGACAAGAGGAGCAACCUCGUCGACAUUAAAGUCCCCAGCAAGAAGCGCAACUACACCAGAACGCUCAAAGGGGUUGAGUUCCACGGCAAGGAGACGCUGGAGAUCGUCUGCACUAGUGAACCAGACAAGGCCGACGAGGUGAUCUCCAGGCUCUGGAGGAAGCUUGGCGGCAGGUUUCGUAGGAUCGUCGAUGUCGGUGUGCACUACACCAAUGAAGAUGAACCUCCCCAGAUGGCGGCAGUCCUGGAGUUGUGCGUCGACGAACUCUGCUUGGUGUACCACAUCGCCGCGGCCACAAAAUGGUGA